rnacentral:rRNA from 1 species
GAUGAACGCUGGCGGCGUGCCUAAUACAUGCAAGUCGAGCGAACGGACGAGAAGCUUGCUUCUCUGAUGUUAGCGGCGGACGGGUGAGUAACACGUGGAUAACCUACCUAUAAGACUGGGAUAACUUCGGGAAACCGGAGCUAAUACCGGAUAAUAUUUUGAACCGCAUGGUUCAAAAGUGAAAGACGGUCUUGCUGUCACUUAUAGAUGGAUCCGCGCUGCAUUAGCUAGUUGGUAAGGUAACGGCUUACCAAGGCAACGAUGCAUAGCCGACCUGAGAGGGUGAUCGGCCACACUGGAACUGAGACACGGUCCAGACUCCUACGGGAGGCAGCAGUAGGGAAUCUUCCGCAAUGGGCGAAAGCCUGACGGAGCAACGCCGCGUGAGUGAUGAAGGUCUUCGGAUCGUAAAACUCUGUUAUUAGGGAAGAACAUAUGUGUAAGUAACUGUGCACAUCUUGACGGUACCUAAUCAGAAAGCCACGGCUAACUACGUGCCAGCAGCCGCGGUAAUACGUAGGUGGCAAGCGUUAUCCGGAAUUAUUGGGCGUAAAGCGCGCGUAGGCGGUUUUUUAAGUCUGAUGUGAAAGCCCACGGCUCAACCGUGGAGGGUCAUUGGAAACUGGAAAACUUGAGUGCAGAAGAGGAAAGUGGAAUUCCAUGUGUAGCGGUGAAAUGCGCAGAGAUAUGGAGGAACACCAGUGGCGAAGGCGACUUUCUGGUCUGUAACUGACGCUGAUGUGCGAAAGCGUGGGGAUCAAACAGGAUUAGAUACCCUGGUAGUCCACGCCGUAAACGAUGAGUGCUAAGUGUUAGGGGGUUUCCGCCCCUUAGUGCUGCAGCUAACGCAUUAAGCACUCCGCCUGGGGAGUACGACCGCAAGGUUGAAACUCAAAGGAAUUGACGGGGACCCGCACAAGCGGUGGAGCAUGUGGUUUAAUUCGAAGCAACGCGAAGAACCUUACCAAAUCUUGACAUCCUUUGACAACUCUAGAGAUAGAGCCUUCCCCUUCGGGGGACAAAGUGACAGGUGGUGCAUGGUUGCCGUCAGCUCGUGUCGUGAGAUGUUGGGUUAAGUCCCGCAACGAGCGCAACCCUUAAGCUUAGUUGCCAUCAUUAAGUUGGGCACUCUAAGUUGACUGCCGGUGACAGACCGGAGGAAGGUGGGGAUGACGUCAAAUCAUCAUGCCCCUUAUGAUUUGGGCUACACACGUGCUACAAUGGACAAUACAAAGGGCAGCGAAACCGCGAGGUCAAGCAAAUCCCAUAAAGUUGUUCUCAGUUCGGAUUGUAGUCUGCAACUCGACUACAUGAAGCUGGAAUCGCUAGUAAUCGUAGAUCAGCAUGCUACGGUGAAUACGUUCCCGGGUCU